rnacentral:rRNA from 1 species
UCGGGGGAAUGAAAAGCUUCGGCUGACUUGUUAGUUUUUAUUAGUGUAAAAUAUAUUAAUAAUUAAAAAGUUAAAAAAUAAAAUUUUUAAAUUUGCUGACGGUUAAGUGACUUUGUCACAUAAAGUUCUAGAUAGUAUACUGAUUAUGACUAUUUACUAUCUAUGUGUCUUGACCAAAUUACGUGCCAGCAGUCGCGGUAAUACGUAGAAGACUAGUGUUAUUCAUCUUUAAUAGGUCUAAAGGGUACCUAGACGGUUUAAUUAGUCCUAACUAGGAUACGAUUAAACUAGAGUUAUAUAUGACGAAAGUGAGUAUCUGUGGAGUAGAGUUUAAAUUCGAUGAUWCCAUGAGGACUGGUAAAGGCGAAAGCAACCAUCUAUCUAAUACCUGACGUUGAGGUACGAAGUCUCGGGUCGCAAAUAGGAUUAGAUACCCUAGUAGUCCAAGCAGAAAAUAAUCGAAUGCCAUAGACUAGAUAAUUAUUUAGUUUAUAAAAGAAAGAGCAAGCAUUCCACCUCAAGAGUAAUGUGGCAACACAGGAACUGAAAUCAUCAGACC